rnacentral:rRNA from 1 species
CACGUAGGGCGCAAGCGUUGUCCGGAAUUAUUGGGCGUAAAGAGCUCGUAGGUGGUUUGUUACGUCCGCUGUGAAAUCCUAGGGCUUAACCCUGGGCUUGCAGUGGAUACGGGCAGACUAGAGGUAGGUAGGGGAGAAUGGAAUUCCUGGUGUAGCGGGUGAAAUGCGCAGAUAUCAGGAGGAACACCGGUGGCGAAGGCGGG